rnacentral:rRNA from 1 species
CACGCCGUAAACGAUGGAUGCUAGCUGUUUGGAGUAUCGACCCUCUGAGUAGCGAAGCUAACGCGUUAAGCAUCCCGCCUGGGGAGUACGAUCGCAAGAUUAAAACUCAAAGGAAUUGACGGGGACCCGCACAAGCGGUGGAGCGUGUUCUUUAAUUCGAUGUUAAACGAAGAACCUUACCCAGACUUGACAUCCUUGGAAGGUCUGCGAAAGCAGACUGUGCCUUUGGAACCAAGUGACAGGUGU